UAGGGAAUCUUCCACAAUGGGCGAAAGCCUGAUGGAGCAACGCCGCGUGUGAUGAAGGGUUUCGGCUCGUAAAACACUGUUGUAAGAGAAGAAUGACAUUGAGAGUAACUGUUCAAUGUGUGACGGUAUCUUACCAGAAAGGAACGGCUAAAUACGUGCUAG
rnacentral:rRNA from 1 species